GUGCUUGCUUCGGCAGCACAUACACUAAAAUUGGAACAAUACAGAGAAGAUUAGCACAGCCCCUGAACAAGGAUGACACACAAAUUCAUGAAGCAUUCCAAAUAUUU
ensembl:snRNA U6 U6 spliceosomal RNA